AGACGUUGAUGGCUCCAUGACCCGUAUUAGUGUCGAUCCCGUAUUACUGCAAAGGUCUAAGGAUUUUCUUAGUCAAAGGUACUCGAACUACAAACCAAUCGCAGAAUUUUUCAACGUCAAUAAAUUUUCAGUCCCUGAAAGCUUAUUGCUUAUCAAAAAAAGAGUUGGACAUAAUUUGGAGUAUUUUUCUUCAAAUUAUUUACUUAUAGUGGCUAUCCUUGUGGUAUAUUGCCUGUUUACCACGCCUUUACUUUUGGUCCCCAUUCUAAUUCUUACUUUUGGUUUUUUAUUCUCCAAGUUUUUGUCUAAUUCUGGUAAAUUAUGUUUUCAUGGUAGAAGAAUCAGUGAAAAGGAAGUGAUUCUAUUAUGCGCUCUGUUAUCCUUACCUUUUUAUUUCAUAGCCUCCGCAGGAACGUUGUUUUUUUGGCUUAUAGGCCUCUCGACGUGCAUUAUUAUAGUACACGCUUCCUUAUUAAGUACUCUGAAUGAGCACUUACUUGU